rnacentral:lncRNA from 1 species
CAAAACACUCAGAUAGAUGAAAAUUUUCAACUGAAUAGAUGAUUACCAGAAAGCUUUUGAAGACUAAAGAUCAUACUUGAGCUCUCCUCCUCUAUUGAUGAAAUCGAGCAUAGGUGAUAAGUUAUUCAUGUAUUUGGCUACCUCUUCUGAAGUCAUGAGCUCGAUUUUAGUUCAAGAAGAUAAUGGAAUAUAAAAACUUGUCUAUUGUAUUAGGUGAGUUUUACACAGUG